AUUGAACGCUGGCGGCAGGCCUAACACAUUCAAGUCGAACGAGCGGCGGACGGGUGAGUAAUGUCUGGGAAACUGCCUGAUGGAGGGGGAUAACUACUGGAAACGGUAGCUAAUACCGCAUACCAUCGGAUGUGCCCAGAUGGGAUUCGCUAGUAGGUGGGGUAACGGCUCACCUAGGCGACGAUCCCUAGCUGGUCUGAGAGGAUGACAAGCCAAACUGGAAAUGAGACACGGUCCAGACUCCUACGGGAGGAAGCAGUGGGGAAUAUGGCACAAUGGGCGAAAGCCUGAUGCAGCCAGGCCGCGGGUAUGAAGAGGGCCUUCGGGUUGUAAAGUACUUUCAGCGGGGAGGCGUUACCCGCAGAAGAAGCACCGGCUAACUCCGUGCCAGCCGCCGCGGUAAUAC
rnacentral:rRNA from 1 species